UGGGGAAUAUUGGACAAUGGGCGGAAGCCUGAUCCAGCCAUGCCGCGUGUGUGAAGAAGGCCUUUUGGUUGUAAAGCACUUUAAGCGAGGAGGAGGCUCUUCUAGUUAAUACCUAGGAUGAGUGGACGUUACUCGCAGAAUAAGCACCGGCUAACUCUGUGCCAGCAGCCGCGGUAAUACAGAGGGUGCGAGCGUUAAUCGGAUUUACUGGGCGUAAAGCGUGCGUAGGCGGCUAAUUGAGUCGGAUGUGAAAUCCCCGAGCUUAACUUGGGAAUUGCAUUCGAUACUGGUUAGCUAGAGUGUGGGAGAGGAUGGUAGAAUUCCAGGUGUAGCGGUGAAAUGCGUAGAGAUCUGGAGGAAUACCGAUGGCGAAGGCAGCCAUCUGGCCUAACACUGACGCUGAGGUACGAAAGCAUGGGGAGCAAACAGG
rnacentral:rRNA from 1 species